rnacentral:rRNA from 1 species
AUUGAACGCUGGCGGCGUGCCUAAUACAUGCAAGUAGGACGCAGUUGCGAACGGGUGAGUAACGCGUAGGUAACUACCUAUUAGAGGGGGAUAACUAUUGGAAACGAUAGCUAAUACCGCAUACUAGUAGAUGGACCUGCGUUGUAUUAGCUAGUAGGUAGGGUAAUGGCCUACCUAGGCAACGAUACAUAGCCGACCUGAGGGGGUGAACGGCCAAACGGGGACCUGGACACGGGCCAGGAUCCUACGGGAGGCAGCAGGAGGGAAUCUUCGGCAAUGGGGGGAACGCUGACCGAGCAACGCCGGGGGAGUGAAGAAGGUUUUCGGAACGUAAAGCUCUGUUGUUAAGGAAGCGGUACUUAACCAGAAAGGGACGGCUAACUACGUGCCAGCAGCCGCGGUAAUUC